rnacentral:rRNA from 1 species
UACGGGGGGAGCAAGCGUUGUUCGGAUUUACUGGGCGUAAAGGGCGCGUAGGCGGCCACUGCAAGUCAGUUGUGAAAUCUCCGGGCUUAACCCGGAAAGGUCAACUGAUACUGCAGGGCUAGAGUGCAGAAGGGGCAACUGGAGUUCUCGGUGUAGCGGUGUAAUGCGUAGAUAUCGAGAGGAACACCUGCGGCGAAGGCGGGUUGCUGGGCUGACACUGACGCUGAGGCGCGAAAGCCAGGGGAGCAAACGGG